AAAUUUUCUUAAGGAACUCGGCAAAAUCCCAAUGGCCCACCAGGGCAUAUUGGAACACGGGCCUCGACUGUUUACCAAAAACAUAGCCCUCGGCUAAUAUGAAAAUAGAUGUAUAGAGGGUGAUGCCUGCCCAAUGGUUGUAUCUAAAAGCGGUUGAUAAAAGUCGACCUUGUAAGGACAAUUGAAUGGCCGCGGUAACACUGACCGUGAUAAUGUAGCGUAAUCAAUAGCCAAUUAAUUGUUGGCCAGUAUGAAUGGCGCCACGAAGGCCCCACUGUCUUAAGGAAAUUCCCAGUGAAAUUGAAUUCGUAGUGAAGAUGCUACGUCCAAUUUGUUAGACGAAAAGACCCCGUUGAGCUUUACUGGAGCACUUAUAUGGCCCCGGCCUUCCCAUGCCUGGGAACCGGCCGAAUUUAAAUGGGCGGCUUAGAUUAUGUGGCAGCCCCCCGCUGGGGCAAAUGAAACACCACUCCCCCAUGUCAAAGGGGCUAACCCCCCCCUUGGGGGGGACAGUGUAAGUAGGACAGUUUGGUUGGGGCGACCGCCUUUUAAAAAGUAACGAAGGUGCGCUUAAGGUGUGCAAUUAAUGACUGAAGCCUGACUGCGAGGGGGGUACCCCGAGCAGACACCCCUAAGCCCGCCCGAAGGGCGGCGGUGGGGUGGGCCAUAGUGACCCGUUAAUUUAGAGUGGAAUAGUUAACGAUCAACGAAUAAAAGUUACCACGGGGAUAACAGCGUAAUAUCGUUAGAGAGUUC
rnacentral:rRNA from 1 species